rnacentral:rRNA from 1 species
UGAGGAAUAUUGGACAAUGGGCGAAAGCCUGAUCCAGCGAUCCCGCGUGGAGGAUGACGCAUUAUGGUGUGUAAACUCCUUUUUUGAGGGAAGACGAAUGACGGUACCUCAAGAAUAAGUGACGGCUAACUAUGUGCCAGCAGCCGCGGUAAUACAUAGGUCACAAGCGUUAUCCGGAGUUACUGGGCGUAAAGCGUCCGUAGCCGGUAUUGUAAGUCUGUCUUCAAAUUCUCUGACUUAAUCAGAGGCAGGGGAUGGAUACUGCAAUGCUAGAGGUUUUUAGAGGUUAGUGGAAUUCCCGGUGUAGAGGUGAAAUUCGUUGAUAUCGGGAAGAACGCCAAAAGCGAAAGCAGCUAACUAUAAAAAUCCUGACGGUAAGGGACGAAAGCUUGGGUAGCAA